rnacentral:rRNA from 1 species
ACGUAGGUGGCAAGCGUUGUCCGGAAUUAUUGGGCGUAAAGCGCGCGCAGGUGGGAUAGUAAGUCUUUUGUAAAAGUGCGGGGCUCAACCCCGUAAAGCGAUCGAUACUGCUAUUCUUGAGUGCAGGAGAGGAAAGCGGAAUUCCCAGUGUAGCGGUGAAAUGCGUAGAUAUUGGGAGGAACACCAGUGGCGAAGGCGGCUUUCUGGACUGUGUCUGACACUGAGGCGCGAAAGCCAGGGGAGCGAACGG